UCCCCUUGACCAAAGGGGCACAGAGGCCCAGAUCAUUGCAUGGAUGGAAUGUCAUGCUCACUGGGUUUGCUCCAUGCCUAUGGGAAGAGCUCACCUCUCCUUCCCACUCUGCCCACAGUGGUACUUGCAGCCACAGUACAUCAUCCCAUGAGCAGCAGAGGAAAUUCUGACUGAGAAAACACUGCCAACUCAGGUCUUCUGAGAUUCACAGGAUAAGAUUAAAAGGAUAUAUUUAGCAGCACUGUAAUUUCUUUUUCCAGAAUCUCAUUUAAAGACCAAAUGUUUACAGUUCUACCUCAGAAAAAUGUGAAGACAUUUGAGAUCCUGCACUCUGGUUUGCAAGGCUUUACUAUGUUACCAUCAUAUAUCCUCUAAUCACAGAGCAGUUAACACUCAGCCACAGAUAACACAUUACAGGAUCCAGCUGCAUCUCUAGAAAAUGACAUUUGCAUCUAAAUUUAGGUGUCUGAGCUCCUAUUUCAAUCAAUGGAGCUCAGGGCUCAAUCUGGGUCCCUGAACAUCAGGCACCCCAUUUCAAGGGGUCUUCAGUGAAUCAUCUGAGAUAUCUGCAUGGAGCUGGUGGAUGUGACCCAAAGCCUGCACAUCCUGAAGAGGCAGAUGUGUCCUCUGAAGUUGGGACUGAUGGCACUUGACACUGCAGCAAGCCCACACUCCUGCCUUUCUCAUGGGCAGUGCUGAAGGCUUCAGAGAAAAGCAGUCUUUGGUGACAGUGGAAGAAGCUAAAGAAGAAUUUGUCUCUGUGUGUGUGUCAAUUAACACUUCAGAGAUGACUGAUCCUGAGGACCAAUCACAUGAAGGAAAAAGUUACCAUUGAGUCUAGAAGUCCUGGACAAGGUGCCUAUAGACUCUCUGAAACACAUCCAUGGAAAUGAUGCUUUUAAAAAUUGCAGCAAGGCUUGUGACUGGAGCCUCCUGUGCCCACACACUGCCAGGUCCUUAGAGAGCAAGAAACCAUCUCUCUUCAGUCCAGUACUUGUGCCUGCAGUGGAGGAGGGCAGCAAAACCUGAGCACAUCUGUUUUGUUUGAGGACAAAACCACCAGAAAACCAGACGGUUUUAAGAAGAUCUUACUUGGGUGCUUUCCAAAUAGUACACAGUCUUGUAGGAGAAACUGUUUUCUUGAGGAAUGACCCUUAUAUUUAUAUAGUCAAGUCGUCACUUGGACAUAGAUGUAAAACCUUCUCAAAACAAAUACUAUCUUUGUCCCUUAUCUGGGGACAGAGGGAGAAAUAAACAUCCUAGGAUGGAGAUGAGCCAUUCUUCACCAACAGGCAAGAAUUUUAUAUCAUUAAUUCAUCAACUUCUACAUUAAUUAUGUUUCAUUAUCUCUUGGAGUUCCUCAUGUGGACAGAUAAGAUCAUUUCACAUGAGAAAACAGACUAAUUUGAUAAAUAGAUAGCUUUGCUGAAUGAGAAUGAACAUUUUAAUAAAUGUUUACGCAAGUUUUCCAUUUGAUUAAUUUUGCAGUGACACAUGGGGAGAAGAAAUGUACAAAAAAUAAACAGGUCCUUUAGACUGAUGUAAGAAAACAGCCAACCACUAUUGGAGAAUGUUUAGCUAUGAACAAUUAAAGGAACUGACCUAAAUGUUAGCUCCAUGGCCUGUGUAUGAAGGCAAGCCUGACCACCCUGGAUGCUGCACGCUCAGCUCAGUGCUGUGUCACAGAAGUGGUUGCAGCAGAAGAGCAGUGUCAUAGGCACUGAGUUAUGUCCUCUCCACCAGACUGGAACAGAAACUGCUGGGAAAGCUUCACUUUGUUUAUCUUUGCAGGAGGGAUGUAUUUGCCCUCUUUAAAUCACAGCAGGAGACUUUAUCUCAAAGCUGUGAUGUAGCCAUUGCUGAGUAGUCCUCAUUAAUGAGGCUUGUGGUUAAAGGAACCUGUUAAAAAGUUCCAAUAUCAGAUAAGAAAGAAAAGUGCCCUGGGAAGGACUUGGUUUUUUCCCAAAUGAAUUGGCCGUUUAUUGAGCUUUGUUUGUUGAAGGCUCCCAUUUGACCAUCAAGGCUGUGUAUUUUUGUUCAAGGACACGAUAAGCAAAGUCUGAUGUAUGCCUUCAAUGCUUUUACAGAAUGGGCAGUCUGUCUCUCCCUGAUUUUCUGUGUUUUGAGUACAGUUCUACUGGCAACAGAGCAAUGAAUACAAAGUCUCUUGUAUAAUUUUCCUGGCAGCAAGGAAUAAAUUAUGUACUAAUGCUUUGGCUCUUGAAGGAUUAUUAAUUAACAUGUAUGAAUAACUGAAUUGUAGUUCAGUAGAAGGGGAAAAUACCGUGGCAGAUGAUUCAGUUAAUGCGGUCCAAAUUAUCUUACCCCAAAAUAUUUAUAAAAAGUGGAACCCUGAUUAAUUUUGUGUGUGUUUAACCAGAUCAGAGCCAUGAUCAGAGAGAUCUAGGACUUCCAGCUUCUAGUAGGACCCACUCAGAGCAGUGGUCCAGAGAGGAGGAGUUGUUGAAGUGCAGAAUCUACUGCACAUUUCAGAUUCCUGUGCAGUGAGGGAGGGAGUGAGAUAGCAAGCUGACCAGUCUUGUGUCAGUGUUUAUAGCAACCAGGACAGGCCCUUCAAGUUGGACUUAUGGCCAGGUUCUGACAGAAACCUAGAGGGGAACAGCUGAGAGCUGCACUUAACAGAAGGAGCAGCAGUAAAAUCAGCCUCAUUUCCUUUGCAGAAGCUACUGUUAUUUUUCAGUUGGUUUUAAUAUAUUUUUAAUAAUACCAUACAGUUGCUUUUAUAAUUAAAACCUGAAGUGAAGGACUGAUGCCCAGCUUUUCCCUUCUCAACAGAAAGAGAUGUUUACUGUCAUACUCUCUGGAUAGCAAUGCAAGGCAUUCAUGUAUGCAUAAAGGCCAGAGAACCUUUUCACAGCUAAAUAGGAAGAAAGGGAACUUAAUGCAGAAAUUUAACAACUAUGGCAUUUAAAGAAGUAUGUAGUGCUGCCUGUUUCUGGGUUAGCAAAACUUAAAGUAGGACUUUCCAUUAAAGUAGCAGGAAUUCAGUGUCAUUAUCAUAUGGUUUUAGAUUAGCCUCUAAUAUCUGCUGCAUUGAUUCCUAUUGGCUAAAAAAAAUGUUUCUAUCAAGGGGGAAAACCUAUGGCAAAUCAGAAAUGACUUUUAGAAUUUCUUUCCAAGGAACAUUUUUUAAGGUUUUCUGUUUGUUAGAUCAUCAGAUAUUUUACAAACAAAACUAAACCAAACAAAAACCAGGACCCAUAAUUUUUCAAAUGGAAAAGGCUAAAAAAUCAAACCAGCCAAGAAUGGUAAGAAAACAUUUCAGAUCUAAGGGCAACCAGAUGGCCGAAAUUACUGGUGGUUCAUAGAUUUUUACUUAAAAUAGGGGAACGUGAACAGGACUAAUAAGCUACAAAUUAAAAACACACAUUAAUAUGAGAGGUUGUGGGUUCUAGAACUUAGGCUCUAGGAGGUAUUUUCUCAGUAAAUUUGCUGUGAGCUUGGGAUACUAUUUGUUCUAAGUCUUUUGCAGACAUCAUUUGACUACAGGUUUGGGUUUUAUUCCUUUGCAGUCCUGAAAAUUAAAGGACAAGAUUGCACUUGAGUUUGUAAUUAUGCAUUGCAUAUCUAACCUAAGUAAUUUUGUCCCUUUUCUAGGGGUCAAUUUUCUUAAGGGGAAAUGGAAAUACUUGCUUUCUUCAUAGUAGUGUGGUGCAUCUUUAUGUAUAGAAACACCUUUAGGUCUCCAUAUGGGAGGCACCCCAGAACAAAAGUGUACAUGAAAAGCAUUCAUAAGUUGAAUUCAGGUCACCUAACUUAGGCAACUAACUAGUGGCUAAAGUUUGGAAUCUAAUAUAUAUUAGGGAACAACAUUCCCUGUACAAAAAAUGGAGAGAAGCAAGUUAUUGAAGACUCCUUGGAUGGAGGUCUUCCUUGCACAUCUGCAUUAGAAAGAAGAAUUUUGUUCUGAAAGUCUUCUGAGGCAUUUUCUUUACUUCACGGACAACUUCGGCAUGUAAGAAUUACUUUUUAGGUUCUAAAAUUAUGACACAAUUUCCUUCUUGUGCAGGAUGGUUCCUAUCUAGUGUUUUCACACUUACAAUGAGAACUGCUAAGUUUUUGAAUGUUUGUCCAUGAGUUGGGUUAAACACAGCAGUGAAAUGACAAGCACAACCACCUGGGGUAUUUUUUUUUUAAACACUGAAGUGAAAACUUUUUAUUCGAAUAUUCAAAGAGAAGCUUGAAAAAUAGAGCAGGCUGUUUUAUUUGAUCAUUGAACUCAUCAUUUCAUAGAUGGCUGCUGCAAUAAGCAACCUCUCCCUGUAAUUGUGGUACUGCACAGUUGCUGCUGUCUCAAGUUGGUUGGCUCAUCUGAGAUGGGAGUCAAAGUAUGCUGCCUGUUUUAGUAUUUAAUCCCAACAGUUUAGAACAACCACAGUUUUAUAAGCAUAUAAUUCAUUUCAGUUUCCUAUGACAGUCUUAAAGGUUUUCAUGGUCAUCCCAGUUUUCAAAGAUUAACUUUACAGGGCACCAGAAGCUUACAUGAACACCACUUUGUACAUUCCCUCUCCAUAUUUUCCACCUCCCAGAUUAGGUACAUUCUGCUGUCUUGCAUGUUGUACAGGUCAAUACCAUCCAACUUCUCACUUAGCCCUCUGUUUAGGGGUCUAUGUUGGCCAGUCUGGCUUUCAGCAGUGACGCAGCUUUAUUAUAAUAAUGCAUUUUAAUUUACAGGCAUCCACGCCUGAAGCAUCUUAACAAAAACAACUAAAAUCUAAAUGGCAAUAAACAAAGGCAAAAGAGCACUUGGAAGCCAAGAACUUAAAAUCCCUGCAAAACAAAACAGGAAAGGAAAUGAGAAUGUCAGAAGCCUUGCCUAAAAAAGUGUUCUGGCAUAAGCAAGAGACAGUGUGUUCCUGGGCCGAGGGAGGAGACCAUCUCUUUUGACCUUCUAACAGAAAAUUACCAACAUCAGCUUGAAUUACUGAGAAAGGGCACGGAGGUACAAGAGGUGGGUUUCUCUUACCUCAGAACAGGGAACUUCAUCGGAAAAGACAUAAUAAUCUUGAAGCUAUGUUGUCCAAUUUUGCUUCCCUGAAAAGAUUCACUGCAAAUCUGUCUUUCCCUCUAGGUUUUGUUUCAUUUGUUUGAAAAUAUAGCAAUAGAUCUUUCAAAAGGCUGUGAUGGCCCUGCCAAUUUGAGUUUAAGUUAGCUAAUUUUGAGAAUACUAAGAUUACUAGAAUACUAGAAUUAACUAAUUUUGAGCUAUACUGUGUAUGCACACAUAUAUAUCUAUGCUACACAUAUAUAGCUAUCUACGCUGUAUGUACAGUAACUACAUCAGAACCCAAAGGAUUAGUAGGUUUAAGAAAAACACAGAAAGUGUAUUAGCUUAGCUUUUUUUUAAUCUCUUCAACAGCAUUUUUUAAAAUCAAUUCUAUUAUUUCUGUGCCUCAAAUGUCUGAUCUGUGAAGUGAGAAUACUUAUCUGGUAUGAUGGAAAAUACCAUCAACAUGGUAAAUCUCUUCUUCACUUAAUUCUGUCUGUAGCAAAUCCUAGCCUUCGCUUGGAGCUCUGCCUUGUGGCACACUAAGCUCCUCUGCUCUGCCAGGGUCCCCUCCAGCACCUUUCCUGAGUCAAUUGAAAUUUUAACAAAGCCCUUGACUGGAGGUUUUCUCCCUGCUUUGGAGAAGCUAAUGCCAAUUUUAAAAAAAUCCACUGAAAAAACUUUAAAAAAUGAGGCGUUUGGGUUUUCAGCCUGUAAUUACAGCAUCAGUUCCCUUUUAUGCUUCUAAAUUACAGAGAAGCAAACGAUCCUGUUUUCUGAUGUUUUAUUUUUUUUAAAUUACUCAGUGGCUUUGUGGGGAAAGAGUAACUGAAUAUUUUUGGUGGUGUUAUAUAGGCAACGCCUUCCCCAUUAGCUCUUAGGAAGUGAUUCUUCCUCACUCCCUAAGGUUCACUUCAGGAGGAAUGGAAAUUAAUCCAUUUAAAGAGAAGUGGUAAUAAAAAAUGUCCCCUUUCCAUGGUUUAGCCAGCUUGAAACAAACUCUUAAAAAUGUGCACAUCAUUUUUAACAGAGGCUUUGCAUUAACGAGGAUUAAGCAGGCUCUGUUCUUGUUUCAAAACAUAAUUUUCUGGGUAGCCUUGCAGCAUGGUUGGCAUGGGCCUUGGCGCAAAGAAUGAAAUGGCGCCUUCAUGCCAGACAGCCAGAAAUGUCACCCCACCUACCCGUACUGGUUCAGCCCAGCUUGGCACCCACGUGGCCUUGCUCCAGCUGCAUCACUCAUGCAGAUGCUGACAGCUUUGCUGGAUCCAGCUGUAGCCUGAAGAAACAUGUUGAGAUGUUUUUAGAGGUUAUAGUGACUAUUGAUCCAUCUUCAGCAAUGGUAAGUUAUUGGUUUCUGUGGAGGUCUUCCCUUUUGCUGUUAUUUUUCACCAUCUCUCCAAUUUUAGCGUGUCUGUAUUUCAGGUUUCCCCCUUUACACCAAGCACCUGGCUUUCAGCUGAUUGCUAUGACAGCCUGUCUCACAGUUUACACCAGCAGCUGUCCCCCAAAGUCAUUGUAUGAUAACAGGAGGGCUGGGUGGCAGAAGCUGGGUUGCCAAGGAGAGAGUGAAAAAAAUUUGCAGCACCUUCAUGUUUAAUAUUUAAUCACUGCAUCCAGAUAAUGUCCAAGCUGAGGAGUUGCACACUGCUGGUAGAGCACACAGCACGUUCAUCCAUCCCACCAGUUCACCAGACUGUAGAAUAAAAUGGAAUAGAAAAGAGUAAAUAGAAUAGAAUAGAAUAGAAUAGAAUAGAAUAGAAUAGAUUUCAAUACUAUAGUACAGAGAGAAGGGAUCUGCAAGAAUCAUUUAGUCCAACUGCCUGAACAAUUCAGCACUGACCAAGUUAAAUCCUAUUAUUAAUGACAUUGUCAAAAUGCUUCUUAAAUACUCAGAGGCUUGGGGCAUUGACCAUCUCUCUAAGAAGCCUAAUUCAGUGUUUAAACACCUCUCGGUAAAGAAGUACUUUCUAAUGUCCAGUCUAAACAUCCCCUGGUGCAGCUUUGAACUCUUUCCACAUGAUCUAUCACUGGAUACUAGGGAGAAAAGAUGAUCACCUCCCUCUUCCUUUCCUGAGGAAGGCACUCCUCUCCCAGUUUAUUCUUGUGCUUGGCAUUACUUCAUCCUAAGUGCAGAGUCCGAAUUUUAUCCUGUUAAUGAUAGCUCAAAUCUCCAAUGUAUCUAGAUCCCUCUUCAAGGCAUCUUGUCUCUGAAGUGACUCAAUAACACCUCCCACUUUGCUAUCACCAGCAACAUUUCUAGUGGUGCACACAGCUGGGCUGACAGUGCAUAGAGCUGGGCAUUAAAUCCACUCAAACAUGCUUGUGCUGUCUGUCCAUCUCACGGAACCAUUGUUCCUGCCAUGCCUUUCCUAACUUUCAAAGCCAGUUUGUACAGGUCUUUGCAACCAGCAGGACGUGUGUGACAUUGCUGAAAUGCAGUCGUGGGCCCAUAGCCAUGAAAUUGUGCCUAUUCAUGAUUUUUUUUCCAGCAUGGGAAAUGAGCAGCAUAGACGUGUCAAUUAGUGAGUUGUCUCAAUUUACUGCUUGGUUCAAAGAAAACAUUAAGCAUUUCAGAGAUUCUAAUUUCUAAAGCAUUUCUCCAAUAACUCAUGGAUUUUUAUUUAUUUAUGGAUCAGUAACUGGUUUGAUUCAUUUCUGGUGUUUUUUGCCCAGGCUGUUCUGUUGUACCUGGACGAUGAUCCAGCCAGACCAUUGACUUUAAUAAAGUCUAGAAUUAUCUUUGGACCCCAGACUUGCCAGAUGGCAAAAAAAUGAACACUUUCCACCACUUUUAGAUUUUAAUUUUCCUGGGCUAUGGCAGACAUUUUAAUAUACAAAAAUUACUAAAUCUCUGAUUUACAGUCAGGCCUUCUUAUUCUUUUAAUAUUACUUUUUAUUUUAAAUUUACUUUUCUUUAGUUUAUUGUACUCAGUUUACACAUACUCUUUAAGUCUUGCUUCCUUCCAGAAUUACCAUAAUAUUGUUUUGUGUCAGCCUCAUGGAAAUAAGGCUGGAUGAAAACUAAUCCAGUGGCUGUUGCACACAAGUUAGGAAAAUCUCAUAGGCAGCGAAAUUCCUUUUUUUUUUUUGAUUAUUAAAAUUGUAUUAUAAACUAUAUUGCACUGUGGUGAAUCAUAUAUUAUUUGUAAUGCGCUUUUAGUUGCUUUUAUAUGACUAGAUAUGUGGCUGGGUUUCAUGUAUUUUGUCAUUGCAGACUGGAGCAAUAAAAUGAGAAAGAAGUAAUCAUUCUCUAUGGCAUUUUUAACAAAAUCUGAUUUUUCCUUUGAGAACCUCCAGGAAAAAAUCACUAUUCUCUGUCCAUCUUGCUACAGAAAAAAACAAGUCCACAACACCUUCAGGUCAUUAUAUGGUCCAUUGUUGCAACACUGGGAUUAAAUUUUGACCCAAAUAGCAAUUGUCCAGUCCCUUGUAAAACACAGGAAACAAAAGAGCUUUCACAGCUGUAGGUAGGGGCAACAAUUUAAUUUUGGCCUGCAAAUUUGCAGAGGUGAGCUUUUCCACAAAGAGUCCAGUGCUUCCUUAGCCACUGCUCAGCAGAAAGGGAUGAUUUUGGCUGCCCAGCCCAAAUGUCCAUUCAGGCUGUGCCUGUGCUCACCCAGAUCGCAUGUUCACACUCCAGGCACCCCCCUGAGAUGGCCCUGCUGGGACAGAGAGCUGCUGUGCUGGGCGAGGGCUGCCAUGAGCAGGGCAGCCCUGGUCUGGGGCAGCCCCACCCAGCAGGCUGCUCCCUGCACGCCUGGGGCUAUUGUGGAUCAAUCGAGAAAUGAACGUUCAAAAGGCUGUUUGCUUCGGUGGUGCUUGGCCACUCAUCCUCGUGCAGCUUCCAGGAGAGUCUGCAAGGCUGAGCAGGGUCUGCAGAGGUGGUGCAGAGGGCAUCCUUCUCUCUGGUGAAGGGAAAGGGACAGCAGGAGAGAGGAGGCAGCUGAGAGAUAAAUAUCAUGGAAAGAUAGAACUGGGAGGGAAACUUGUGUUAGUUCACCUCAUUCACCACUAUUACCAGAAACUGAGAUUAGUUUAUUCAGAUUGUGGAGCCUAAGGAUUUGGUUGUCAACUAACGUGUGAGAGGGAGAAGUGAAAGCUGUGGGGAUGGUGAGAUGUGGGGAGCUUGAGGACUGACACUGCAGGGACACCCCUGGGUCACAGGGAGGACGACACAAGGGUGUGUGGGUGGGAGGCGUGAAUGGAAAUGUGUAGGGGAAGGCAAAAGGCCUUCUGUAAUCUAGCCAAGGCACCAGAAAUACAGAGUACCCUCAGGCUGCUUGGGAAAUCCAUAGGGCUUGGACACCAGUAAAUGGUUGUUCCCUGUGUUUCAUGUUCCUAGAAUGGGGACAGUCAGGGCCAGCUGGUACGUGCCCAGCUGAGGCUGGGACAUGGCUUAGAGGCCACCACUGCCGGAGACCAUGUCUGUAUGGGGCCAGGACGUGCUCCAGACACCUGCCCAAGGGGAAAAAGGGGGUAGUACUUCAGGACAUACAAUGAAAGAGGACAUUUAGCCAUGUUUGGGGGGAUGCAACUUUGAGUAAUAUCAUUCAGUCUUGCAAAAUGAUUCUUAGUAAUAGGUGAGUUUGAUGUGUCAAUAAGAAAACCUUUUUUUUAAUCUCCAUUAUAUUUCUGAUAAAACAUUUAAAUUUAUCAAGUCUGAAUUAGAGUUUCAUUGCUCAUGGGAGCCAUAGAGUGGGAGAAAUUGUGUUCUGGUGCCAGAAUCAACUCUUAAUUCCAGUUUGAUCCAGGUGUUCCCAGAGAGAUGCACUUUCUGUAUCAUUUCAAAGAGAAGGUUUGGGCAUUAUAUGAGAUUGAGAGAUAGAUAUAUGCUUUCUUCCUGGCGGAAAGGAGAUUUAUUUUGCAGAAUGGCCCAAACCAUGACUUUGCCAUCAGACCUUCAUGCAGGAGUGACUGGCAUAGUCUGUAUAGACUGUACUCACCACUUCUGACUAUCAAGAGGACAAAGAAAUAUGCUGAUACCUUGAUUUUUUUCCAGGUGCACAGGAGUCACAGAGCUGUCAGCAAUCUCAGAAAAUGGUUUUAUUGGUUUCCUUCUUGCUGUAGCAAUUCUUUUCUUUCAAAGAGCCAAAGUAGAUGAGAUAACCAGAAGUGGCAAAGGGAGAACAAGACAAAUGAGUGAAAGUAAGAAAUUCCAAAAGGCUCCAAGUCAUUUAUUUAAAUCUUCUUGGAAAAUAAAUUUUGAUGCCUACCUUCGGCCUAAUGAUUGGCUGCAGGAUGCACUUGCUUCUCCAAGCAUUUAGGUAUAGGUAUUUUAAUGAGAUGAUGGGGUGGAAAAUAUGAUACAGUCAAUACAUUGUGUAACCCUUCAUGUUAAAGGAAAAUUUUAUUAUGAUGAGUAGAUUGAUUAUCAUUUGUUUGUGAGGGUGAUUUAAUAGACUUCUGGUUUGCUAUUGGAAUAAAUGACUCUUCAACAAUCUUGGGUCUAUUUUCAGGCCUGUGGUGCUUUGACAACAGUAGCCAGUACCUUACUGGGAGCUGAGUUCAACAGUAAAACCAUAAAAGACAGCAUCAUGGCCUCUAGAUGGUUUGGUUGUUGGAAGAGCUUACUGGAUUUUAUCUUGGAGGGAGAUGGGAAACAUGCAGACACAAAUAGCUCAGACUGAGAUGGGCACAAUAAAUAAGGCCAUGUUACAUUUCUUGAGGGUAUCUCAGUAAAAACUAAAUUAACAUCACUAUUAAUUGGGAGCCAUGCUUUUAAGUUCAGUUAAGUUUAAGCCUAUUUUUUGUGAAACAGUUUAAGGAAUUCCUAAGUAAAAAGACUCUGUUAGUAACAUCAAGGCUGACAUAAAAGCUUUGUAAUCACAAAUGCAUCUUUUGGCUCUCAGCAUAUGCUUUUUCUGAAGUCUUGCCUUCUUAGGCAGGAAUAAUUUCAACAGUAAUCUGUUUUGUUGCUCAUUUGGAUUCUACGUUUGGAUAAAAGAGAUGAGAUCCCAAAGUGGUAGUGUAUGGUGAGCACCAUCAAGGAAUAUUGGGGAAGGUUAUUCAGGUACAUAAGACAUGUUAAUAUCAUCAGGUUGCAUAGCUGAGACAUUAUUUUUCAUGCUAGUUCAUGCCCAUGGAGGUCAGUUAAUCCAGAAUUAUAUGGUGUAUUGACAUUUUUUCAUGUUCUUUACUGAAAUUGAUUACCAUAAUUCAACACCUUGGAGCACUAAGAAAUAUACAUAAAAUGUGUCAGACUUGAGUGAGGUAUGUAUUCUGUAUUCAGUCCAUGGACUUGAAGAUUGUUCUUCCGCAAUUCUUCACACCACGUUAUUGCCUUUCUUUGGGUAACACUCUCUCAGUCUCUCCUAUUUUGUUUUAUACCAGCAGUGGUAUAUUUCCAGGAGCCAAGGACUUGACUUCAGAUCUCUCACACCCUAUGUGCCUUUACAAACAGUUAUGGAAACUGAGCAGCCUGUUUUCACUGGAAAUUCCAGAUUGGCAAGACUGAGCUGUCUAAUGAGGUGGAAUCCCUUCAUCCUAAAUCUCUGGAAGCUUCUACUGUCUGGAAAAAAGGCUUUUGUGAGAAAUCAUUUAUUCUUAAUUAAUUUUUAUCACUACUUUAUCUUAAUCAGAAAAAGAAAACAUGAAAGAAGUAUAAAGACAUUUACUUAGUCUUGUUUUAUAUAAGUAAAUGAGGGAUUUUCUUGUAAAUUGUGUUUACUAAAACUGAAAGUUUAAGGAUUAUUUAAUAGCAAAAUCAAGAUAAACAAUCGUGCAAUUCUGAAUAUACCUAGUGUCUAUUUCUGAAUGUUGAGCUGAACAUAUUAGAUCAGCAUUAGAAUUUCAGCAUUUGAACUGAAGAAUUAGGGACUGUAAAAUUUAGCAAACACUCCAACCAAGCUGAAAUGUCACAUUAGUAAAGAAAAGAAAUAAAGCCAGGCUGUGUUUAUCCACCUGCUUUAAAGCAACUUUUGUGCAUGUGUUAACAAAGUGGACAGUGCCUUUGGAAUAACAAUCCUUGUGAGUACUGGGUGUGUAACAGGAAGGAUUUAUUUUUUUUAAUGUUCAGUGGAGAAAAUAGAAAGAUUUGUCCACCCUGAUGCUAAAAAUACAGAAUAAUUAUCAUUGAGGCAGGUGCACUUCUGACCUAAGCAUGCAUGCACACCAUGUAUUUUCAGGUCCUCUUUGUUAGAAUAAAUAGAUUAUUUUUUCCCUCAAGUACAGACUUUAAAAGCAGAUACAAAUGGCUUUCCCGGGGAAGGAAAAACAGUCCCAGAGAGGCAGAGGAAAAUGGAGUCUAGAUGCAUUUGACACCUUGUUGCACUGUUUCUUCCCCAGUGACUGUGAAGCAUGUGCCACAACCCCUCUGGAGAUGGUGCCAGGUGAGCCGGACUGUGGUGACAUAGGAGUCAUACAUACACCAUGUAUGGCCUCUCCUCCUUUUGGCCAAGUCCAACAUAGCACAAAGAUACACCGUGGCAUUCACAGAAUCACAGAAUCACAGAAUGGCUGGGGACAGACAGAACCUCUGGAGGUUAACUGAUAUAACCCCCCUGUUGAAACAGGGCCACCUAGGGCCAGUCAUCCUGGACUGCAUCCAGAAAUGUUUCAAAUACUUCUAAGGAUGCAGACUCCAAAACCUCCCUGGUUAAUCUCUUCCAGAGUUCAGUCAUCCUCACAGUAAAAAAAAAGUUUUGUUUGUUUGUUUGGGUUUUUUUUCUUUUCUUCAUUCUCAUAAGACAACAUGAAUAAAACCCCUGAUGUUCAUAAGUGAUCUCCUGUUUUCCAGUUUUUGUUCAUUGCCCAUUGGGACAUUCUGUCUGGAGUCAUAAUAUAGGAGUAUAUGUGAAGUCAAUGCAUAUUCAGCCUGCAUAUUUUUGGUGAAAGAAGGAGAAAUUUGCUGCUUGCUUUCUUCUGCUUGAGUUCUGGUUCAGUUUGUCAGUGUGUUUCACUUCUACUUUCCUCCUUUCCUUCUCAGGGUGCAGUUGUGGUCUUUACCUCUAAGCAUGCAGGUCACAAACAGCCGCCUCUGGAACAGGUCUUUUGUGACCAAGAGAGUAUCUAACACGUGUGAGAUGCUCCUUGUGAGAGCUACAGCACAGCAUUGUAUUCCAAACUGCUCCUUUAAUUAUACUGACUCCUAUUUUAUCCUUGCUCCUUCACUAUUGUCUACUCUUCCUGCAAUCCUAGUCCCCUGCACUUCCCUCAGACCUCUUUUUCUUCUCAGCCAUUUUUUAAUAGAAGAUUAUGUAGCCAUGGAACUGCUGUUCAGCAUGGACAAUUGGAUGAACUGCCUGCAGAAGACACAUUUCAGACUGCUUCUCCAUGUCCAUGAAGCCAGUGAGGCUUCAGACUGGAAACACAGUUUUAUUUCUUUCCGCCUCACUGAGGAGUGCAUGGCUGGGAGAAAAAAGAUGGGAGAGAUUUUGGUGUACUUGAUCAUAGAUACCAGGGAGAGCUGAAAGCCUGGGCCCUAAUCACAGGUGUGCCAGAGUCAAAAGGGGGCUCACAUCCAGGAUAUAGGUCUGGUCAAAUAUCUUCAGUGUGUCAGCUCUUCUGAAACAUUUCAUCACUACAUCGUUCCUCAUCGUCUAUUCCAGGGCCACAGGAAGAAGGACAAGUUACACUCUGCAAGUGUCAAGGCCUUUUUUGAUUCAGAGCAGUGUGAAUGCACAUAGGCUGCUAAAGCAGAAACAUCAGCAGUUAUUAAAAAAUGAAGACCUUUCUUCCAGAAAGGGCUAAAUAACUGAUUUCCUUCAUGCCUGGUUAUUCAUUUGUGUAAUAAAAACCAGCUACACUUCUGAGAGAGAAAUAGUCUUACACAAUGGCAAAGAAAGGCCACUUUCACUGUUUGUUCAACCUGAAUUUUUGUCUGGAAUAAAAAGUAAUGGAUUACCCAGGUAAAAAAAAAGCCAUGUAAAAAUGUCUGUAUUUGAGCUGUUUUGAAAGUAAUCAACACCCAGAUUGUGCUCUCACUUGGUAAGAAAAGCUCCUUUAAUACCUUCUGCCAACUCUCUUAAAAGUUUGGCUUCUCUUCUGAAGAGAUUUAGGAGUGCAGGCAAAAUCCUUCUUACUUUGCAACUUUGGGCCCUAUUUGUUUUGGAUAUGAUGGUUAGUGGGUUUGAUUCACUAAUCUGACUUUAUUAAGAGGAUGUACAAGUUAUCCCACAAAGAACAGCCUGCAAGACAGAGAAAAACAGGGGUGCACCAGGGAUGGGGGACUUACACAAACCAAACCUACCAUAAUGUAACAAAAUCGGGGCUUGCUAGAAAACGAAAUGGAUCUAAGCCAAGGAUAAAUGAGUUCAUCUUAUUCCUCACAGUCCUCUCAGGCAGAAGAUGAAGGCAGCUGACAGAAGACACUUGCUACAGUCAGAAAUCUAGGGAUACCUUCAGUCCCCAUUUUCUUUAGUCUUUCUUCAUUGUAGGCUGUUUUAAGCCAGUACUUUUAGUCCUUUUUGCACAGAGCAACUAAAUAGUUCUGUCUACGUCCCACAAAUUGUAUGUGACAGUGCCUGCUAAAGGAAACCUGUUCUGCAUCCAUUUAAACUAAGAAGAUACAUCCACAAUAUAUCUGCACUAAGAUCACGGGAGUUUUUUCUAAGCAAACAGAUCUAACCACUUGUUGUAUAACCAUAAACACACACGAUUUAUGCACAAUGUAAUUAUUUCUGAAGGUUUAGAUAAUUUUCCCCCUAAUUUUAAAGGUAAAUACAACUUUUUUGUGAAUGGAAACCACUCCACUUAGUGCACUCAAGUGGAGUUGACAUCCAUGUUACACUUCAGCUCAUCUCUUUUAUGCUUAGAAAAGAAAAACAGGAUUAAGAAAAGAAUUUAUGUUUUUUGUUUAUUUAUGUUUUUCUCUUUUGUUUUAAUUUAAAAUGCUUUAAGUUAAACAUAUGACAUUUUGUUUGACUUGGUUUAACUUCAAAUAAAUUUGUCUUUUUAAAAGGAAAAUCUUAGUUUAACCUCUUGCUUUGAAUUCAAAAGUGCUUUCAGAUUUUGCUGUGUGAAUUAUCUAAACUCUUUGACUUGCAUCUGGGGUUCCCUCAACCCAGUGGCAGAGGAAGGGGAAAUUUCACAUCAGCUGAAAUCUUUGAACCCCUCUGGGCUCUGCCCACGCGUGGCUGCAGCAGGCUCUGUGAGUGAGGUGGCCCUGUGCCCGUGGCAAGGGACAGAGCAGAGUGCUGGACUUAGUGACCAUUGAAGCCAGAGCUCCAUCUCUGGCCAUAUUCAAAUAAACCUUGGUGCCAAAUCUUUCUGAGCACAAAGCCAUUGGACUGAGCAGAGAAACGUGAAGCAUUCACUGCAGCUAACAGAGGCAAUAUGAAAUACUUUGCUUCUCCACUUGUAGCAUAUUGAUAUUCAAUCAAGCAUUUAAAAGAAAACCAAAUUGUUGACUCAGGGUGAGCUGGUGAAGUGACCCAUGGACUUGAGAUUACUUUUUUCCUCUGUUCUUGCCAUCAACCAGCAGCAAGCAGUCACUAACCCUUUCCUUGAGCUUCCUGCUGCUUCCAGAAGCAAGCAAGGAGUUCCCAGAGGCUGCUCCUUAGUGGUAACUCCUGACUUGUCCUCUAGCUGGAAAUGCAUCUCCAAGAAUUAGGCAGUUAUGCAUUAUUCUUUCAUAUCACCCCUGGCUGCUUUCCACUGGUGGAGCUCUAGCAGCAAGAAGACAAGGUUAAUCUGGGGUAGACUGCAGAGCCUGGCCAUUCACUUAUGCUGUCAGUAAAUGAAAAAAGCUACAAAUCAAAAUAUACUGGUGUGCAACAUCAGUCUGAGCAGUACCAGGCAUCCACUGAAAUUCUGUCCACAGAGAUAUUCACAGGAAAAGAGGAACUGAAACAGGGUUCACAGAAAAUUUGCAAAGACCAGACUGAAACCAGACACAUUAGCAUAACCCAGAAAGUUUUUGGAUAAUCAGGUGUCUGUCUCUGUAGACUCAAAAUUCCCCUCCGGCGCAACUAGCCAAUGUUUGCUUGGGAGGUAGAAGUGAAAAGCCAGUGGAUCUGAAAUCUGAGCUUCCACAAGAAUUUCUCUGGUCGGUGCUCAGCGCUGCCUUCGGGGGAUGCGAAGGCUGGGAGGCAGGAUGUCGGCUCUGGGCUGGCUCCCAGAGCCUGCGGUUAUCGCUCGGGUAAUCCCGCAUGGUAUAGCCGAGCUAAAACUAAAUUGUAUCCAUUUCUUUUCAGCCCAUCUUUCCAGAAGCAAGGAGAUUUUCUUACUCUGAAUAAACACUGAAAUAGUGUUUUUUCCUUAUAACUCUUUGUCUGAGCACUGUAGCUGAAAAUAUUUCCUUUUGUAGCAAUGACUGUCUGUGCUGGCAGUAACUGCACUGGCAGUGGUGCAGACUGGCUCUUUUUACUUGCCUGUGGAAAUUUAAUUUUUCAGUAGGUCCUUUCUCUAAAACAUUUACAAAUCCCACAGAAACAAGUAAGCCUUGGACAUGUGAAAAAUUCCAGGCAUAAACCUUAAAUCAUAAUUUUAAAAGAAAUAUAAAAAGUAAGACAUAUUUUCAUGCCUGCUGUGGGCCUGAAGAUUGCCUUUUACUUUUGAGAAUGAACUGUGCACCCAAAGCCAUGAUAAAUCAUACAUAAAUAAAACCAUACCAUAAUUAAGAGGGCAGAAUUCAGAAGGGGCAGUUCUAAAGUGUUCAUUUAAAGAAAGGUUUUCUCAUCCAUUUCAGAUUUUACUCAAAGAAUGGAGGACUACAGGGUGUUCAGACUCUGGUGGAGAGAAAGGAGAGGAAGACUUUUUUCAUGGGUUGGAAUAAAAGCAGAGUUAGAUGAGGAUCCUGCAAUUUAAAAUCCAACACUGAAUUUGUAUUCCCUAGGCACAACACAGUGAACCUGAAUAAAACAAAUUCAUGCAGAUCAGCUAAAGUAAUGUAUGACAAAUCAGUCUAACCUCACUCUUCUUACAAUAUGACUUCAUUCAUAAAGAAACAUAAAACUGUAUUUUCUUCAUUCUUGCUUUCUCAUUUCUAUUGCUUUCUUCUUCUUGCCUGAAUAAUGCAACUGACCUAAUUCUUCAUAUCAGA